AUGGAGGCGCCACUGUCCGUAUACGAUCAACCACUCCGACUCCGCCGGGAGCGCCGGCGUCCCCUCGUUGCCCGUGGCGAGGAUCGCCUUGGCGCACUCCCCGACGAUGUGCUCCAUCUCGUGCUCCGCCGCCUUGACACCCGGUCCGCGCUAGCCACCUCCGCGCUCUCCAGGCGCUGGGCGUGCCUCCCGCGGGAGCUCCCCACGCUCGAGUUCAAGGUCCGCGACAUCCUCUCCCAGCGCUACAAUCAGUACCUCCAGCGUCGUACCGACGCCGCGAACAGCCGCGUGAAACCCUGUUCAAUUAAGAAGCUCGAUGUCGUCCUCAGCCGGUACGAGCGCCGUGGUAUGCGCUCGCUGGCCGAUUCCCUCGGCGGCUUCCUUCAUGCGGACGACGCCAAUCCACGCCGGGGCGUGCACAGCGUCAAACUGGAGAUCUUCCCCACUCACAAUUCCGGUAACUUGAACCGACUCGUUGCCACGGCCGUCUGCGGCUGGGGAGUAGAAGACCUUGAGGUCGUCGUCCUCAACCCAGACGCGCGUCACAGCGCGGGCUACAGCUUCCCGCAUCAUUGUUUCGCUGAUUCCAGUUUUCCCAAUGGCGGCGUGAAGCUGAAAACGUUGAAGCUGAGCAACUGUGCUCCUCUCGCAGCCAGACCGGACGCAAACACGGCGACAGCACGCGCAUUCAGCGCGCUCACCGUCCUUGUCCUGCAAGACAUGCCGAGGACGACUCGCGGCCGCGUCUACGAGGCCGUCAUCCGGGCGUGCCCGGCGCUGGAGGUGCUGCACCUCAGGUCGUGCGGUUGCCGCAGGAGGUCCUUCUCGGUAGACGCGCCCGACUCGCGGAUUACAGAGCUACUCAUCGAGUUCACCGGCCGCGCGUACGGGAAGAUCGAGCUGCGCGCCCUGCCGAGGCUCGAGAGGCUGGCGUGCAUGGGCGCUCCACUCGACCUCAAGUUCGGCUGCGUGCCGCAGCUGGCGGGCCUCAACCUCAGCUACGACGAAGACGCCAAUUCCAAAACUCCACAGUUCGUGUUGUUCGGCGUACGAACUACGUGCCUUCUCAGCAGCUUCUUGACCAACCUCACGGGCCUAGAGGACCUCGUCCUCGGGUUCACCGGUCCUGAGAUGUGGAUAGUACGACCUCUCGACGACAUGCCGCAGUUGGGUAAGCUGAAGAGACUACUCGUGGCGGACAUGCCGUCGUCGUGGGACAUCACUUGGAUCCGUUACGUCCUGGAGGCCGCGCCUUCCCUUGAGACUCUGCACAUUCACGUCGCCGACGAUGAUGACGUGGGUUCCGGGGGAACGGUGGGCAAUAAGCUGAUCCAUUGGCCGUCGUCGUCGUUGGAGUUCAAGCACCAGUGUCUCCGUGAGGUGGUGGUGGGCGGCUUCCAAGGUACGCGGAGGCAGGUGCAAUUCGUGAGGUUCCUCAGGCGUGCGUGCACAGCGCUGCGAGAGGUCGUGCUUCUCAGGCAUGGCCAUGUAGUAGAGAAGGGGCUCUGGGAUUGGGAGACACUGGCUCCAAAGCAGGAGUGCCAAUGGAAUGAGGAGAGACAUGCAACGAUGAGUGAGAUCGAGGAUGGCACAGAUGAUAUUGCUUGCUGCGCAUCUCGAAUAGUUUUUGGAUGA
rnacentral:rRNA from 1 species